rnacentral:lncRNA from 1 species
CUUGCGUGGAAGGAUUUGAACCCAAAUCUCGUACGAAUUGGAGUGAAGGGUGUGCUAGAAGGAGUCCAUUGAAUUGCACACAGGACAUCUUUCAGAAUUUUAUAGGGCUUAAGUUGCCGGAUACAUCCCUUUCCUGGUAUGAUACAAGCAUGAGUCUAGUAGAAUGCAAGGACAAGUGUCUAAAAAACUGCAAUUGCACGGCAUAUGCAAAUUCAAAUAUCACAGGAGAAGGCAGUGGCUGCAUACUCUGGUUUGGUGAAUUGGUUGAUAUGAGAGAGUUUAGUUAUGGGGGCCAAGACCUCUACAUAAGGAUGCCACCACCUUUGAAAACAGGUAUUUUUCAAUAUUCUUCCCAUGAUUCUCAAGCAGGUUAUUUUUUUUCACUCUUUCCCUCUGUUUCUUUUUUUUUUUUUUUUGAAAUGAAGAAGUUGUAUGUUCCUUAAAUGGUUUCCUAACUUCGUGUCCUCAUUUCCUCAUUCUAUUUACAAAUAAAACAGAACUCCUUUCUCUGUUUAUUGUGGGUUUUCAGAUCAGACGACGUCAAACACAAAUUCUGGUAAGAAGAAGCUUUUAGGAAUCAUACUCGGUUCCACACUCCUUGCUGGAGUGCUUAUGGUAGGACUAACCUUCUAUAUAUGGAGAAAGAAGCAGAGAAAGCAAGGUAGUGUACUUUGGACAAUUCUUCUUAUUCCAGAACAUGGACCUUGUUGAUAUAUAUAGUAUGCAUGGUAGAUUACUACUAUUGUAGAAUUUUAUGUUAGUCAUCGAUAACAAAAUGAAGAAUUUGUUAGAUCAUGCUGUUAGUCAAUUAGCUUUGAUAAGGAGAAGCUGUUCGUUUAUCAUUGCUGACAACUGAUCAAUCUUCUGCUAUUCAGAAAUAGAGGAAGACAUGGAGUUACCAUCGUUUCAUUUGGCCACCAUAGUGAAAGCAACGGAUAACUUUUCAAGCAACAACAAGUUGGGACAAGGUGGUUUUGGACCGGUAUAUAAGGUAUAUAACAACGUGCUUCAAAGCAGAGUGAUCAUCUACUAUGAGAUAUUCUAACUUCAGUAAAUAACAAUUCCCAGGGUACAUUGAUUGAUGGGCAAGAAAUAGCAGUGAAAAGACUUUCAAAAAGUUCUCGGCAAGGAUUGACAGAGUUCAAGAAUGAAGUUAUCUUGAUAGCUAAGCUUCAGCACAGAAAUCUUGUUAAACUUCUUGGCUGUUGCAUUCAAGGAGAUGAAGUAAUGUUGAUCUAUGAAUUCAUGCCCAACAAAAGCUUAGAUUGUUUUAUUUUCGGUUUGUACCCCAAGAACUGGUUAGAGUUUCUUGCAGUUAGAUUGCUUGUUCUAUGAUGUUUCAUUUAUACAUCAGAAUAACAUAACAUUAUGAUAAAUUGAUUAGAUCAAACAAGAAACAAAUUCCUGGACUGGCAGAGACGUAACCUCAUUAUCGGUGGCAUUGCUAGAGGACUACUUUAUCUUCAUCAAGACUCUAGACUAAGGAUUAUCCAUAGAGAUCUCAAAGCCAGCAACAUAUUAUUAGAUAAGGAUAUGAACCCCAAAAUUUCAGAUUUCGGAAUGGCUAGACUGUUUGGAGGAGAUCAAAUUGAAGCAGACACAAAUAAAGUGGUCGGAACAUAGUAAGUACACUCUACACCUAUUUUGUUACAAUGUAUAAUCUCCUCACAUUUAAACUUUUUCUGAUAAUGUUUUUCCGCAGUGGAUACAUGUCCCCUGAGUACGUUGUUGAUGGGCGUUUCUCACUGAAAUCCGACGUCUUCAGCUUCGGUGUUUUAGUCUUGGAGAUAAUAAGUGGGAAGAAAAAUAGAGGAUUCUCCCACCCGGAUCACUACCAUAAUCUUCUUGGACAUGUAAGGAUAAAAUUAAACAUGUUAAUUUAAUUAUGUAUUGACAAUUUUUAUCAUAACAAGUUUUUGUUUUCAAGGCAUGGAAACUGUGGACGGAAGAGAGGGCAUUGGAGCUUCUUGACAAUAUGUCAGAUCGCCCGUAUUCUGUAUCUGAAGUAUUGAGAUGCAUUCAUGUGGGUCUGCUAUGCGUGCAACAAAAGCCGGAAGACAGACCAAAUAUGUCAUCUGUGGUUUUGAUGUUGGGCAGUGAGAAUUCAUUGCCUGACCCAAAGCAACCUGGUUUUUUCACGGAAAGGAAUAUGCCCGCAGUGGACUCUUCAUCAGGAAAUCAUGAAUCAUCGUCUAUAAAUGACCUAACUAUUUCAGAGCUAGAUGCACGGUAGAAGAUUGGCUCUGAUGGUUAAAAGGAAGAGCUAUAUAUAUAUAUAUAUAUGUAUGUAUAUUCUAGCCAAAUCCAAGGCAUAUAACAGAAAUUAAAUAUUUUCUGCUAUAAUUAUGUUGAUGUAUUAUUUUUACCUGUCUACAAGUCCUCUGCAAGUACUAGUGCGAAUACAGAUAGACAGAAUGCUUGAGGAUUCACAUCUCUGGACUGCACAAUAUCUGUACUUGUUUGCUUCGAGCCGUCGAAUUUAAUGCACGGAUCUGGGUUCAAGAUCUAUAUAUGCUAGAGCCUCACUGGCUUCUAACCCAAAAAGAAUCCAUUAGAAUUGUCAAUAUAUAAUUAGUAAAAAAAAAUUACAUACAAUUUAAACAAUCCAAAUUUAUAAUUCAAAUUUACAUUAUAUUUUUCAUAACAUGUUAAAAAAAUAUAUUUUUAACAACCAUACAAGGAGCUAUAGUCUUUCCUUGAUUGAUUUCAUAGCACCUUAAACUUAGCCUUGACCUAACCCUUUUAGGGAUAAAUAUUAUAGGUACGAGUACCUUGAUGAUACUUAGCCUUUGUAGGGGAAUCCGACCGGUGAUGUUUUGAUAUUUGCUCAUAGUAGGCUAAGCACACUAACACAAUAUUUAACGUGGUUCGACAAACCGCCUACAUCCACGGGAGAAACCAUUUGAUUAUAUAGGGAGAGAACAAGAUUUACAACAGUAGAGGAGGAGGAAUCAUCCCCUCUUUGGCAACUCUCAACCUCACUCUAUUUUUCUCUUCUCAAUGCUGCAUUGGCAGCUACUGCUGGCUGCCUUGGCAGCCCACUCUCUCUUACAUUUCUCUCAUAUUUGGCUCUACUUUCACUCUCAUUUUGCUCUCUAAAAUCAUGCCUCUUUUAUAGGCAUCAAUGGCAGCUCCUCUUGCUCCUUUGUCAGCAAUGGUGGCUUCCAAACUUACCAAACUUUGACAAUAGACAAUGGUUGUUGGCUGCCACCAACAACCCACCAUUAUAGCCUCAUUCUUUGACUCUCACAUAGCAGUCAUCUUCUUUGACAUAGGCAGCCACAUAAUUGGCAAUAUUCCAACAAUCACCCCCUUUGCCAUUUAUGUGGGGCAACUAUCCUCUUGCUUCUUCAGCACAUGCUUGCAUCUUGCAGCUUUUCCAAGCUUACCAUUCAACCAGAUGGUUUGUCACAUCUCAUCUGAAGAGUGUUUAAUGCUUGUCUCUGGAACAACAUUCCCCUUCAAGCAUAUCAACCAUGCUUGGCCUGGAAUGAUUUAUCAAGCCUUACAUCAAGGCUUACAACACCCCCUCAAACUGAUAUUCCCAAGUGCGAUAGUCAUUGAGUAUUUUAAUGUGAUCACGAGCUCACCACUCUUCCAAGAGCCUACUCAUCCAGGAGUUGCGUCUGCCCUCUAUUCCACCCUAGGAACCACGCCUUACUUCUCCGUGAGUCUCUCACUCUUAGUCUCAAGAGUCCGGGUAGCAUCCACCUUUACUUAUGGGGGCAGCCCAUUAAAGGUUGAUCCAUAUCUAUCUUCAUACUCUGAGUAUUACAAUGCUUUCACCGAGCUCACCACCUUGACAAGAGUCAACUUGUUCCCGGAACCUGCGCAUGCCCUCUGCUCCUUCAUAGCAGUCGCGUCUUAAUGCUCCACAAGUCACCCACUUAUUGUCCAAGGUAAAUGUCUUCUAGCUCAUUGAUCUUUAGCAUGGGGGCAAUAUCCAUGAAAGUCAAUCCUGCAUUUGUCUUCAUACUCAUCAUAGACUCUUCAUUGGCUAUACACUUGUCCACUUAUAUCCAGCCAUCAUAUUGGCUCUAGGGCUGGGCUCUUUUCAUGGCCCUCACACCUUCUCGUGAGGUGUCUCCGCUCGUCGUCAUGCGAUAGUCUGAAUCUGGGCUAAUAUUAUAGCCCUCACACCGUCCAUCCGAGGUGUCUCCGUUCAUCGUCAUGCGGCUUCAUGUCCCUCACACCUUCUCCGAAGGUGUCUUCGCCCGUUGUCAUGGGGCAGUCUGAUCUUGGGCUCAUAUCAUGGCCCUCACACCUUCUGUCUGAGGUGUCUCCGCCUAUCGUUAUGAGACGGCCUGAACAUGGACUCAUAUCAAGGUCCUCACACCUUCUGUCCAAGGUAUCUCCGCCUGUCGUCAUGAGACGGUCUGAACAUGGACCCAUAUCAUGGUCCUAACACCUUUCGUCUGAGGUGUCUCCGCCUGUUGUCAUGAGACGGUCUGAAUCUGGGCUCAUAUUAUAGCCCUCACACCUUCCAUCCGAAGUGUCUCCGCUCAUCGUGGAGCGGUCUGAAUCUAGGUUCAUAUCAUGGCCCACAAACCUUCCUCUAAGGUGUCUCUGCCCGUUGUCAUGGGACAGUCUGAUCUUGGACCCAUAUCAUGGUCCUCACACCUUCUGUCUAAGGUGUCUCUGCCUGUUGUCAUGAGACGGCCACAUCCUCCUUCAUCGGGGAUGUCUCUAGUGGCUCUAAGAUUCUCUACCACCAUGUGGACUUGGGAGAGAUUACUGCCACUGAUUACAUAGAAAGAUAAAGUUGUGGCAUACUCCUCGCAAUCCUCCACCUCGAUUUCUAUGUCUGGAGCUUCUACGCCUUUCUACUUGAUAGCUCCACCUACACCACUCUCUUUAGUGUCUUCGCCUUUCAUCAUAGGCGGUCACCUUUGUCACAGGCGUUUGCACCCCCUCAAUUAGGUGCCUCUGCAACAGCUCAUCUUUCCAUCAUUGCAUGCAUUGGAAAGGUCCUCGCUUGUUGCCUUCAUCAAGAGCACAAGAGAUUUCUUGUUGUAUAACUUUUUCACACCGUCUCUACUCUAAGCUUCAUCUGGGAACUCUUAUUCUCCUUGCACCUACUGUCUCAUUACAGUACCUCGUUGGAUCCUACGGGUACUCCUGCACAAUCUCCGUGUGCUCUCGUGCAAUUCCGGUUCUCUAGAUUUCUCCCUAUUUUUUGCUUUUAUGUUUGACAACAGCUCAUCCUGUCACAACAUUUAUCCAAGUCAAAAUAGGGUGCCAAUCUUUAUCCCCUUGUUGUAUUUCUCUUCCAUUAUCAGGGUCUUCAUUAAUUCUCCCUUCGAGAAAUUACAGUCACCGAAUCUAACUUCUUUGGAGAAAUCACCACUCCAUUAGAUCCUUGAACAUACGGAACCCAACUGUUCCUUUAUGUCGUCAUCUUGCUAGUCUUCAACAGUUUCAUUACAAACUGUUACAUAUACAAAAAUAGUACUGUGUGGAUGAUCCUUCAACUAAGCAAGUUCCCAGGAAAGAUUUGGAGGGGUCACACUGGUCCCGUGAUUAGUACUUAAAAGUGCAUGUUUAUCAAGGUUUUAUAUCAUCAUUUUGCACUUGAAGUAUCAAUAACUCCUUAACUAAAGCAUGUUUUAUAAUAACAAGUUUGAUACUAUAAGAUACCUUAAUUUAUGGUAAAUGCUCAUCUUAUAUGCAGGCCUAUCACAUAAAUAAAAUGAUUGAUUGAUGAGUUUAAGUAUUGAAAGUGAAAGGACAAAGAGAUGGCCAAACUUAGAAAAGAGAUGUCGGUGCAGUCCAAACCAGAACAUUGCUCGGUAAUUGGAUCAUAUUUGGAGCUCUAGAUCUCAGAUUUAGGUCCAUUUUAUAUGGAUGGAAAGGUAAUACAAAGGCCUACAACUUUCAUGAGGAGCCUAAGAUUUAAAAAGGUCGUUUUGAAGUCCAAAUUGAAGGAACAACGAAGAAGUCCGAAGCUGUCCUGCAGCCCAGACACUAUUUAGUGUUCAACCCAUAUCUUGAGUUCUAGAAGUCCAAAUGACCUCAUCUUUUUUUUUUUGGAAAGCUGAGACAAUUUCCUAGAACAUUCCUGAGGAUUCUGGGCAAAUUAUUAUGUUAGAAAUGACGUUUUGUUCAGACAAGAAGAUAAGGAUUGUCACCAAGUCAAGAUGUGGCCACCCACUCAUCAAUUAGUCAACAAAUCAAUAGUUCUAAAUUUUGGCCUAUAAAAGGAGGCACUUACCAUGUAUUGAGGCAUCUUGGUUUCCAGAUCAAGAUCAUGCUCUUGCUUUCUCUCUUUGUAUUGCUUAUGUCUUGCUUUCAUUAAUAUCAAGUUUAUGCACUUCAUUUUCUUUCCUUUACUUAGUUAACUUCUUUCUCAUUUAUGUUCUUAUCUUGUUCAUUUAUGUUUCUUUCUUUCAUUAUGUUCAGCUAAGUUAAUUAUGUCAAGGUGAAAAGGGUACACUAAUGGUGUAAGAAUAAGUAUAAUAUAAACUUAACAUGGACCUUAACGUUGGAUACUAACAUGUUUUAUAUUUGUUAUCUUGUUCACUUUUAAUACUUUGCUUGUUAAAUGGUUAAUCUAGAUUUAUGUUAUAUAACAUUUGGUACAACAAAUACUUGGUACUUUCAUAGCCCAUACUGUAUGGUAUAACCGACACCUGAGCUAUAAAAGGAACUUGAUUUGUUGUUAACAUAAGUUAUAAUCAUGAAUGCCUGCCAACAUUUACAAGUAUUAGCUUUAUUCGAAUAAGAUAACUAAUGUAAUCAUGUUAACAAUUUAUAAUCUGAUUGGAACCUCCUUUAUGUGUGGUUUCCAAUUGAGUAAUAAGAGUUUAUACUAUACUUGUUUGAAAUACCAUUAGUGGAUCCUCUAACCUUGACAUUUGUUGUUGUUAUUGUUUAAUCCUUACGUUAAUCUUUCAUCUCAAAGUUCUCAUUAAUUUCUUCAUCUUCUGCUUUUAUUAUUAUUAUUAUUAUUAUUAUUAUUAUUAUUAUUUACAUUCUGUUUAUAUUAUAUAAUAUAUAUCUUUGAUCUUUUCAUAAACUCAGUAUAUAGGCUGGAAACCUGUGACCCGAUCUUUUAGAUUAUUCUCAGGUAUAACAACGCCACGUACUAAGUAUUAUAAUUAUUAUUGUUGUUAUUAUUGUUGUUGUUGUUAUUGUUGUUGUAUUGUUAUUUAUAAUUUAUACAAUUAAUCUCUAUGUGGUUCGACCCCGGUUUUGCCGGGUUAUUUAUUACUUCGACACUCCUGCACUUGGGAAAAGACAUCAAGCUUUAGGUCGUGUCAAGUUUUUGGCGCCGUUGCCGGGGAGGUAAAUUCUUGUAUAAAUUAUAAUUUUUAUUUCUUUUUAUUUUUUUCAUUUUAUUUAAUUUUGUUUCUUUUCUUUUCUUGCUUUUAUUCUCUUUUUACACGUGCAUGAGAGUUUGGUCACGUAUAUUAAGUGGUCGACUUUGUAGGGUAUCCUCAUCAUUUUUAGAAAAUAUGGCUGAAGAAGAUAAUCAAUCGCUUCAUAAUGAGAAUAAUGAGAAUAACCGUAUGAGAACACUUAGAAAUCACAUGAAUCCCACAAGAACAAGUGCACCCUCAUGCAUAGUUUUCCCUUUCCUUUCCUGGUAUGAUACAAGCAUGAGGCUAGUAGAAUGCAAGGACAAGUGUCUAAAAAACUACAAUUGCACGGCAUAUGCAAAUUCAAAUAUCACAGGAGAAGGCAGUGGCUGCAUACUCUGGUUCGGUGAAUUGGCUGAUAUGAGAGAGUUUAGUUAUGGGGGCCAAGACCUCUACAUAAGGAUGCCACCA